CAGAUCAGUAGUGGUACAUGAAACACAAGGAAACUGAGAGUUAUCUCCCUUCCGAUAGUGCCGGUCGUCGCGUAGCUACCGAUCUCAGCAAAACGACGCCAUUGUUGUUGCUUGUAUACAUCUGCUGUAUCUCGCCAUUGUUGGUCAAUCUAUCUUCGAUUUUGACGAUCGCUUGAGUUUUUCCCCAUACAGUCAAGCAGUUACGUUCAAGUCCAGGAAUAUCAGUCGUGGGAGGUAUACAGACAAGUACCAGGUUCUACAUCAAUGAUGUGACAGGCAAUACCCAGCGACUGAUGUAUCCAGUACAGUUGACAGCCGGUAUCGCGUCUCCAAACUCGAGACCUUGUACAAGAUUUUUCAGUUCAGAGAAUAUGUAAUAAACUCGUUUCUGAAGUUCA